AUCAGCUGUGGUCCGCCGUCGGCGAGCGGCUCAUGACCAGACCAGUCGCUUUUUUCCACGAUCGCCGGGACGUUUACAACAUUUUAAAGCAGUUUCAGCUCAAAAUGGACCCACUACCAGUUUGUGAGCUGAUAUGCAGUGGAAAUUGACAUCCAGAAGGAAGUCAUAAAGGA